AUUGAACGCUGGCGGCAGGCCUAACACAUGCAAGUCGAGCGGAUGAAGGGAGCUUGCUCCUGGAUUCAGCGGCGGACGGGUGAGUAAUGCCUAGGAAUCUGCCUGGUAGUGGGGGAUAACGUCCGGAAACGGGCGCUAAUACCGCAUACGUCCUGAGGGAGAAAGUGGGGGAUCUUCGGACCUCACGCUAUCAGAUGAGCCUAGGUCGGAUUAGCUAGUUGGUGGGGUAAAGGCCUACCAGGGCGACGAUCCGUAACUGGUCUGAGAGGAUGAUCAGUCACACCGGAACUGAGACACGGUCCAGACUCCUACGGGAGGCAGCAGUGGGGAAUAUUGGACAAUGGGCGAAAGCCUGAUCCAGCCAUGCCGCGUGUGUGAAGAAGGUCUUCGGAUUGUAAAGCACUUUAAGUUGGGAGGAAGGGCAGUAAGUUAAUACCUUGCUGUUUUGACGUUACCAACAGAAUAAGCACCGGCUAACUUCGUG
rnacentral:rRNA from 1 species